rnacentral:rRNA from 1 species
UACGUAGGGGGCAAGCGUUGUCCGGAUUUAUUGGGCGUAAAGAGCGUGUAGGCGGCCUGACAAGUCUGCUGUGAAAACUCGAGGCUCAACCUCGAGAUGUCGGCGGAAACCAUCUGGCUAGAGUCCGGAAGAGGAGAAUGGAAUUCCCGGUGUAGCGGUGAAAUGCGCAGAUAUCGGGAAGAACACCCGUGGCGAAGGCGGUUCUCUGGGACGGUACUGACGCUGAGACGCGAAAGCGUGGGGAGCGAACAGG